AAAGGAUCUACAACUGAUUUAUGAACCCAAUUCAACUACACACAGCUAAAGGCUAAUAAUAGUUCACUAAUUACGAGCCUGUUCUCAUUGAGAAAAUCAAAUCAUCUAACAUGAUACAGUACAAUCCAAACCAUUGUUCUAAUUACAGUUCAAUAUGAUUCAGACUGUCCAAACCAUUAUUACAUUAUAGUUAAGCAUGAAUAGCUAAAUUUAAUAAUAAAAGCCAACAAUGAUUCUAAACAAGUUUAGGUGAACAAAUAACAACUCUUCUUCUUUGAUUCCCCAAAUUGUUCAUACAAUCAAACUCCCAGAUCAUUAGAAGCUAUGGAAGUGUACCUGGAAUUUGAAUCAAAUAGAAAAGGAGAAGUCAGCAACAACAGAUAUACAACAGCUCAAAUCCGAGUUCACAGUUUCAGCAAACAAUAUCAAUACUAAUACAUAAUUGCGUUCAAAAAGAGGCUGUAUCAAUAAUAAACCAAAUGAACUUGAAGAAAAACCCAGACAGACUCAGAAUUAGACCAAAAUCAUUUUUGAAAUCAACAGAUAAUAACAAAAGCCUGAAAUAGUCUCAUUUGAACCCAAAUCCACUCGAGAUGCAUUCAGGAGCAACCAGAAAACUCCAGUAACCAAGCUAUUGACUAAAUGAUGCCAGUCAAACACCGAAAUUCAAAACCAACCUGAAAACUUUCAAUGGAACAAAAUUUUUUUUAAUUUAUUGUAGUUUCUCUUUUUUGUAUUUUUGUUUUCUAUUGGAAUGAACUAGAUCUAGGGUACUUUAAAUUUUGAAUUCAAAUUUCAGAUUUGCUGAAAUUAUAGAGGCUAUUUUUGGGGGGAAUUUUG
rnacentral:lncRNA from 1 species